rnacentral:rRNA from 1 species
UACGAAGGGGGCUAGCGUUGCUCGGAUUUACUGGGCGUAAAGGGCGCGUAGGCGGAUGUUUAAGUCGGGGGUGAAAGCCCGGGGCUCAACCUCGGAAUUGCCUUCGAUACUGGACAUCUUGAGUACGGGAGAGGUGAGUGGAACUCCGAGUGUAGAGGUGAAAUUCGUAGAUAUUCGGAAGAACACCAGUGGCGAAGGCGGCGACCUGGUCCGACACUGACGCUGAGGCGCGAAAGCGUGGGGAGCAAACAGG